rnacentral:rRNA from 1 species
UACAGAGGUCCCAAGCGUUGUUCGGAUUCACUGGGCGUAAAGGGUGCGUAGGUUGGCUUGGUAAGUUUGAUGUGAAAUCUCCGGGCUUAACCCGGAAAUGGCAUUGAAUACUACUUUAGCUGGAGGUUUGGAGGGGGGACUGGAAUUCUCGGUGUAGCAGUGAAAUGCGUAGAUAUCGAGAGGAACACCAGUGGCGAAGGCGAGUCCCUGGACAACACCUGACACUGAGGCACGAAAGCUAGGGGAGCAAACAGG